GACGAACGCUGGCGGCGUGCUUAACACAUGCAAGUCGAACGGUGAUGCUCCAGCUUGCUGGAGUGGAUCAGUGGCGAACGGGUGAGUAACACGUGAGCAACCUGCCCCAGACUCUGGAAUAAGCGCUGGAAACAGCGUCUAAUACUGGAUACGAAACUGGCCCGCAUGGGCAUGGUUUGGAAAGUUUUUCGGUUUGGGAUGGGCUCGCGGCCUAUCAGCUUGUUGGUGAGGUAAUGGCUCACCAAGGCGACGACGGGUAGCCGGCCUGAGAGGGCGACCGGCCACACUGGGACUGAGACACGGCCCAGACUCCUACGGGAGGCAGCAGUGGGGAAUAUUGCACAAUGGGCGAAAGCCUGAUGCAGCGACGCCGCGUGAGGGAUGACGGCCUUCGGGUUGUAAACCUCUUUCAGCAGGGAAGAAGCGAAAGUGACGGUACCUGCAGAAGAAGCACCGGCUAACUACGUG
rnacentral:rRNA from 1 species